rnacentral:rRNA from 1 species
AACGAACGCUGGCGGCAUGCCUAACACAUGCAAGUCGAACGAGACCUUCGGGUCGAGUGGCGCACGGGUGCGUAACGCGUGGGAACCUGCCCUUAGGUUCGGAAUAACUCCCCGACAGGGGUGCUAAUACCGGAUAAUGUCUUCGGACCAAAGAUUUAUCGCCUUUGGAUGGGCCCGCGUUGGAUUAGCUAGUUGGUAGGGUAAAAGCCUACCAAGGCGACGAUCCAUAGCUGGUCUGAGAGGAUGAUCAGCCACACUGGGACUGAGACACGGCCCAGACUCCUACGGGAGGCAGCAGUGGGGAAUAGUGGACAAUGGGCGAAAGCCUGAUCCAGCAAUGCCGCGUGAGUGAUGAAGGCCUUAGGGUUGUAAAGCUCUUUUACCCGGGAUGAUAAUGACAGUACCGGGAGAAUAAGCUCCGGCUAACUCCGUG